CAUCUAUACCCUCUCAGAUGAGUUGUUUCUCCGUUCUGUCUACUUCCAUCUCUCCCCUCCUCCGAUGCGUCUGUCUCUCCGUCUGUCUACUUCCAUCUCUCCCCUCCUCAGAUGAGUCUGUCUCUCCGUCUGUCUACUUCCAUCUCUCCCCUCCUCAGAUGAGUCUGUCUCUCCGUCUGUCUACUUCCAUCUCUCCCCUCCUCAGAUGAGUC
ensembl:lncRNA